rnacentral:tRNA from 1 species
GCGCCCGUAGUUUAAUGGAUAAAAUGCCGGCCUCCGAAGCCGGCGACUACAGGUUCGAUUCCUGUCGGGCGCA